rnacentral:lncRNA from 1 species
UUAAAACCUUCUGCUACCAUAUCCACCACUUCCACCUCCAGAUCCAUAGCCACCACCAUAGGGACUGCCUGAGCUUCUUCCACCAAAACUGCUCCCCUUCAUGGGUCCAUAAUUUGAUUGAUGCUGUCCACUAUAAUUUCCAAAGUCAUUAUAGUUUCCACCACCACCAUAGUUACCUCCACCAAAAUUUCCUCCUUCAUUGUAACCAUCAUAUCCCCCUCCUCCUCCUCACCAUAUCCACCACCCUGGUUUCCAUAUCCUGGACCACCACCUCCAUAUCCUCCUCUACUGCUGUAACCAGGACCACCACCAUAGUUGCCACCAUCACCUCCAAAUCCAUUAUAUCCACCAUCACCACCUCCAUAACUACCUCUGCUGUCACCACCUCCACCACCAUAGCCACCUCUUCCACCAAAGUUUCCUCCACGACCAAAGUUUCCUCCACCACCUCCAAAGUUUCCUCCACGACCCAUAAAGUUGCCAGAUCCACCUCCACGACCUCUCUGUGAUCCAGCAGACUGCAUCUCUUGUUUAGAAAGGGCCUUUUUCACUUCACAAUUAUGCCCAUUAAUAGUGUGGUAUUUCUGAACAACAAUUUUAUCAACUGUGUCAUGAUCAUCAAAAGUUACAAAAGCAAAUCUUCUAUUUUUCCCACUCUGCCUGUCUUCUAUAACCUCUAUGGUUUCAAUCUUGCCAUACUUUUCAAAGUAGUCUCUCAGGUUAUAUUCUUCCGUAUCCUCUUUAAUACCACCAACAAAAAUUUUCUUCACCGUUAAAUGGGCACCAGGCUUUACAGAAUCCUCUAGAAACAGCUCUCUUUGGUUCCACCACACGCCCAUCAACCUUGUGUGGCCGAGCACACAGUGCAGCAUCCACCUCUUCAACAUAAGAGUAGGUCACAAAACCAAAGCCUCUGGAACAUUUUGUUUGGGGAUCUCUCAUUACCACACAGUCUGUAAGUGUGCCCCAUUUCUCAAAAUGUUCUCUUAAGCUAUCAUCUGUGGUUUCAAAGCUCAGACCACCAAUAAACAGCUUCCUCAGCUGCUCUGGUUCCUUUGGAUCAUGGCCCUCCAU